rnacentral:rRNA from 1 species
GAUGAACGUUGGCGGCGUGCCUAAUACAUGCAAGUCGAGCGAACAGACGAGGAGCUUGCUCCUCUGACGUUAGCGGCGGACGGGUGAGUAACACGUGGAUAACCUAUCUAUAAGACUGGGAUAACUUCGGGAAACCGGAGCUAAUACCGGAUAAUAUAUUGAACGGCAUGGUUCAAUAGUGAAAGACGGUUUUGCUGUCACUUAUAGAUGGAUCCGCGCCGCAUUAGCUAGUUGGUAAGGUAACGGCUUACCAAGGCAACGAUGCGUAGCCGACCUGAGAGGGUGAUCGGCCACACUGGAACUGAGACACGGUCCAGACUCCUACGGGAGGCAGCAGUAGGGAAUCUUCCGCAAUGGACGAAAGCCUGACGGAGCAACGCCGCGUGAGUGAUGAAGGUCUUCGGAUCGUAAAACUCUGUUAUUAGGGAAGAACAAAUGUGUAAGUAACUAUGCACGUCUUGACGGUACCUAAUCAGAAAGCCACGGCUAACUACGUG